rnacentral:rRNA from 1 species
GGAAUAUUGCGCAAUGGGGGCAACCCUGACGCAGCAACGCCGCGUGGACGAUGAAGGCCUUCGGGUUGUAAAGUCCUUUUUUGAGGGAAGAUAGUGACGGUACCUCAAGAAUAAGUCACGGCUAACUACGUGCCAGCAGCCGCGGUAAAACGUAGGGGGCGAGCGUUAUCCGGAUUUACUGGGCGUAAAGCGCACGUAGGCGGCAGCGUAAGUUGGGCGUGAAAGCUCUCGGCUUAACUGAGAGAGGUCGUUCAAAACUGCGGUGCUUGAGGUUGAUAGAGGAGAGUGGAAUUCCCGGUGUAGUGGUGGAAUGCGUAGAUAUCGGGAGGAAUACCAGUGGCGAAGGCGACUCUCUGGGUCAUACCUGACGCUGAGGUGCGAAAGCGUGGGGAGCGAAC